rnacentral:sRNA from 1 species
ACGGAUGGGCUGCCCAGGUCAGGCCGGGCCUUGGCUCUCCUUUAGCCCCACCCUGGGCCCUUGCCAUGAGCCCUGCCUUCCCUCAGACAUUGGGCCCAACCCCUCCUCUGGACCUUGUCCUGUCCCAAUCCUAGACCACGGGUUCCUCCAAACUUCCACCCUGGGGGUGGGUGGGGGAGAAGCUGAAGCUGGUAAGGGCUCCAGCCCAUCAGAGAGAGAGGCUCUCCUAGGGCGUCCAGGGCUGGCCAUCUGUGAACGGGGAGCUUUCUGGAGUGGCUUCUCUCUGUAGGAGCUGGAUCCUUUGCUUUGGUGUGGAAGAAGGGUGAGCCAUGUGGUCUCCAAGGCUGGGAGACCUAGGCUUGUGGUCUCCUCAGGGUGCAGCUAUCUUCUCCAAGACAGCUCUUCUCAGCACUGGAGAGUGACUCAGAGCAGCUAUGCACGUGGGUUGGGGAGCUCUUCUUGGAGCUGCACAAUGGCACAUACACCACCCAUGCCCAGAUCAAGAAGGGGAACCGGGAAUGUGAGCGGAUCCUGCACGACGUGGAGCUGCUCAGUAGCCUGGCCCUGGCCCGCAGUGCCCAGUUCCUAUAC